GUGCCCGCAGCCGCGNUAAUCCGUAGGGCGCANGCCUUGUCCGGAAUUAUUGGGCGUAAAGAGCUUGUCCGGGGUUUGUCGCGUCUGCCGUGAAAACCCGAGGCUCAACCUCGGGCGUGCGGUGGGUACGGGCAGGCUAGAGUGUGGUAGGGGAGACUGGAACUCCUGGUGUAGCGGUGAAAUGCCCAGAUAUCAGGAAGAACACCGAUGGGGAAGGCNGGUCUCUGGGCCAUUACUGACACUGAGAAGCGAAAGCAUGGGUAGCGAACAGGAUUAGAUACCCUGGUAGUCCAUGCCGUAAACGUUGGGCACUAGGUGUGGGGGACAUUCCACGUUUUCCGCGCCGUAGCUAACGCAUUAAGUGCCCCGCCUGGGGAGUACGGCCGCAAGGCUAAAACUCAAAGGAAUUGACGGGGGCCCGCACAAGCGGCGGAGCAUGCUGAUUAAUUUGAUGCAACGCGAAGAACCUUACCAAGGCUUGACAUGCACUGGACGGCUGCAGAGAUGUGGCUUUCUUUGNACUGGUGCACAGGUGGUGCAUGGUUGUCGUCAGCUCGUGUCGUGAGAUGUUGGGUUAAGUCCCGCAACGAGCGCAACCCUCGUUCUAUGUUGCCAGCACGUGAUGGUGGGGACUCGCGAGAGACCGCCGGGGUUAACUUGGAGGAAGGGGGGGAUGACGUCAAAUCAUCAUGCCCCUUAUGUCCAGGGCUUCACACAUGCUACAANGGUCGGUACAGUGGGUUGCUNCACCGUGAGGCGGUGCUAAUCCCUUAAAGCCGGUCUCAGUUCGGAUUGGAGUCUGCAACUCGACUCCACGAAGUCGGAGUCGCUAGUAAUCGCAGAUCAGCAACGCUGCGGGGAAUACGUUCCCGGGUCUUGUACACACCGCCCGU
rnacentral:rRNA from 1 species